rnacentral:rRNA from 1 species
GACGAACGCUGGCGGCGUGCUUAACACAUGCAAGUCGAACGGAAAGGCCCUGCUUUUGUGGGGUGCUCGAGUGGCGAACGGGUGAGUAACACGUGAGUAACCUGCCCUUGACUUUGGGAUAACUUCAGGAAACUGGGGCUAAUACCGGAUAGGAGCUCCUGCUGCAUGGUGUGGGUUGGAAAGUUUCGGCGGUUGGGGAUGGACUCGCGGCUUAUCAGCUUGUUGGUGGGGUAGUGGCUUACCAAGGCUUUGACGGGUAGCCGGCCUGAGAGGGUGACCGGCCACAUUGGGACUGAGAUACGGCCCAGACUCCUACGGGAGGCAGCAGUGGGGAAUAUUGCACAAUGGGCGGAAGCCUGAUGCAGCAACGCCGCGUGCGGGAUGACGGCCUUCGGGUUGUAAACAGCUUUCGCCUGUGACGAAGCGUGAGUGACGGUAAUGGGUAAAGAAGCACCGGCUAACUACGUG